GACGAACGCUGGCGGCGUGCUUAACACAUGCAAGUCGAACGGAGAUUAUUAAUGAAGCUUGCGAUUUAAUAAUCUUAGUGGCGGACGGGUGAGUAACGCGUGGGCAACCUACCCAUAAGCGGGGGAUAACAGUUGGAAACGACUGCUAAUACCGCAUAAGCUAUUGAGGUCGCAUGACCUAAAUAGUAAAGGUGGCGAAAGCUAUCACUUAUGGAUGGGCCCGCGUCUGAUUAGCUAGUUGGUGGGAUAGCAGCCUACCAGGGCAACGAUCAGUAGCCGGCCUGAGAGGGUGGACGGCCACACUGGGACUGAGACACGGCCCAGACUCCUACGGGAGGCAGCAGUGGGGAAUAUUGCGCAAUGGGGGAAACCCUGACGCAGCGACGCCGCGUGAGCGAAGAAGGCCUUAGGGUCGUAAAGCUCUGUUGUAAGGGACGAAUGUUUAUCUGGCGAACAGUCAGAUAAAGUGACGGUACCUUACCAGCAAGCCCCGGCUAACUACG
rnacentral:rRNA from 1 species